rnacentral:lncRNA from 10 species
CACCUCGGCCUCCCGAAGUGCUGGGAUUUCAGGCGUGAGCCACCGCGCCGGGCCCACGGAUGGAUUCUUAAGCAGUUGCCAUACAAUGUGCUGUGCAAUCAUUGCACACCCUCAAUGACCAGAUUUCCCAUUUUAUUGUCACCAAGUCGAAGGCACUGGAGGAGGACAAAGACCCUUUUCUACCCACUGAGAAGGAGACUCUGAAGAGUUCCAUGAUAUUGAUGAGGCACCUCUUAAUGGAUGCUCAGGCAUACAAAUUCCGUUCUGUUCUAUGGAAGUCCCGUGGAAGGAGCCAGUUUUGCCUUCAUUUGCCAUUUAUUCCAGCAUCCCUGAUCUGGAAAGGGAUGCAUUCCACAGAGUCCUAGGAUCCUGGGAGACAGGCCUGGAGUGGUGUGUUCCUUCUCUGACCCCAAGGUGAUGUGUAAGAUGAAAAGAUGGCUUCAGAUUUCAUGGGGAAUCGAGGCUUAUAUUAAAGAUGAAAGUUGUGCCUCUUCACUAAGUAAGAUGUAAUUUGCUAGGGAUUUGGUUGUCCAGGUUGUUACUUAAACGGAUCUUACAUAAAGUGGAAAACAAAAUCCCUCCCAUUUGUGCAAAAGGUAGUACUUUUGCCAGGGAGUGUAAACUAACAUAAGCCAAUCUCACCAUGUGCACAUAUUUAGUUCUUCGUGGUAGUUACUGACGUUCAUGUCCAUCAGUAGUUGGAGGAGGUUGAUAAUUAGCUACUCUCCUGCAACUUUGCUACCAGGUUAUAAUAAAAGCACUUCUCAGACCAAACCCUGUGCCAUAUGCAGACACUUAUUAGUAAGCAG